rnacentral:rRNA from 1 species
GACAGAGGGUGCGAGCGUUGUCCGGAAUCACUGGGCGUAAAGGGCGCGUAGGCGGCUUGAUAAGGUUGCGGUGAAAGCCCGGGGCUCAACCCCGGGUCGGCCGUGGCAACUGUCGAGCUGGAGCACUGUAGAGGCAGGUGGAAUUCCGGGUGUAGCGGUGGAAUGCGUAGAGAUCCGGAAGAACACCGGUGGCGAAGGCGGCCUGCUGGGCAGUGGCUGACGCUGAGGCGCGACAGCGUGGGGAGCAAACAGG